rnacentral:rRNA from 1 species
GAUCAUGGCUCAGGAUGAACGCUGGCGGCGUGCUUAACACAUGCAAGUCGAACGGAGUUUUAACGGAAGUUUCGGAUGGAAGUUUAGAAACUUAGUGGCGGACGGGUGAGUAACGCGUGGGUAACCUGCCUCAGUACAGGGGGAUAACAGUUAGAAAUGACUGCUAACACCGCAUAAUAUAGCGAAACCGCAUGAUUUUGCUAUCAAAUAUUUAUAGGUAUGAGAUGGGCCCGCGUCUGAUUAGCUAGUUGGUGGGGUAAAAGCCUACCAAGGCGACGAUCAGUAGCCGGCUUGAGAGAGUGACCGGCCACAUUGGGACUGAGACACGGCCCAAACUCCUACGGGAGGCAGCAGUGGGGAAUAUUGGACAAUGGGGGAAACCCUGAUCCAGCGAACCGCCGCGUGAGUAAAGAAGUAUUUCGGUAUGUAAAGCUCUAUCAGCAGGGAAGAUAAUGACAGUACCUGACUAAGAAGCCCCGGCUAACUACGUGCCAGCAGCAGC